AUGAAGGCACAGAGGUGAAGUGACCUGUUCAUGGCAAGUCAGUGCCAAAGAGGAACUGAACCAAGGAGAUUUGACUGCUUGUCCUUUUCUCUACCCACUUCCCCCUGCCAGAGCUCCUGUGUCCAUGCCAGGUGUGUGGCUCAAUGGAACACCCCAGCCAAGCUACCAGGCAACUUCACUCCACUCAGGUGUUGAGGUUUCCUUAAGAAUUAAUAGGUGGUGACUAAGCACUGGCUUGUUGGCAGGUCCCAGGCCCAGUUAGCAGGUCUGUCUCCAUCCCUCCUGUGAUACAUGCACUGCUCCGAAGACUGGGGCUUGCACAGACCUGACAGGUAAAAUCCAGCUCCUUGCAGAGGCUGUGAAGUGUUUCACUGCUGCUAUUUUAGCAGAAACCUCCAGCUAAUGUGUUUAUCCCACAAGUCCACAAUGCCUCUCCACCUUCUGUGAUACACAUUUGUGGGGCCACCACAAAACCUGGCAGCUAGGGGCAGUGUAAGGGACCUGGAAUGUAAUAGCUACGCACGGCUCAUGUGGUGCCUCAUGGUCUCGGACACCAUCCCAUGGUCCAGGGACAUCUACAUUGAACACAUCACCGGCCACCGACAGUACCAGGAGGUGUGAGCCGGUACGACAUUGUGCAUCAACUAUGGGAAAGGGACUGAGAGAC